rnacentral:tRNA from 1 species
AGCCCGGUAGUGUAGUGGUCAAUCAUACGGGACUCUGGAUCCUGUAACCUCGGUUCGAAUCCGUGCCGGGCUACCA